rnacentral:rRNA from 1 species
GACGAACGCUGGCGGCGUGCCUAAUACAUGCAAGUCGAGCGCAGGAAGCCGACGGAACCCUUCGGGGGGAAGUCGACGGAAUGAGCGGCGGACGGGUGAGUAACACGUAAAGAACCUGCCCUCAGGUCUGGGAUAACCACGAGAAAUCGGGGCUAAUACCGGAUGGGUCAUCGGACCGCAUGGUCCGAGGAUGAAAGGCGCUCCGGCGUCGCCUGGGGAUGGCUUUGCGGUGCAUUAGCUAGUUGGUGGGGUAAUGGCCCACCAAGGCGACGAUGCAUAGCCGACCUGAGAGGGUGAUAGGCCACACUGGGACUGAGACACGGCCCAGACUCCUACGGGGGGCAGCAGUAGGGAAUCUUCCACAAUGGACGAAAGUCUGAUGGAGCAACGCCGCGUGAACGAUGAGGGCCUUCGGGUCGUAAAGUUCUGUUGUAAGGGAAGAACAAGUGCCGCAGGCAAUGGCGGCACCUUGACGGUACCUUGCGAGAAAGCCACGGCUAACUACGUGCCAGCAGCCGCCGUAACAC